GGUCCUGACCAAACAAAACCCCUACACACUGUGUGAGGAAAGAAGAGCCCUGUACUACACAUGGGGAAGUGGUUGGGGAAGUCGGUGUGGGUUUCUCCUCCCAUGGGGAAAGGCAAACCCAUUUGUGGGAUUGUCUUUGCUCAGGGACCAGGGUGUACCUGGCAAGUGGGACAGGAAAA